rnacentral:rRNA from 1 species
CAGUCGCCGCGGUAAUACGUAGGUGGCAAGCGUUGUCCGGAAUUAUUGGGCGUAAAGGGCUCGCAGGCGGUUUCUUAAGUCUGAUGUGAGAGCCCCCGGCUCAACCGGGGAGGGUCAUUGGAAACUGGGAAACUUGAGUGCAGAAGAGGAGAGUGGAAUUCCACGUGUAGCGGUGAAAUGCGUAGAGAUGUGGAGGAACACCAGUGGCGAAGGCGACUCUCUGGUCUGUAACUGACGCUGAGGAGCGAAAGCGUGGGGAGCGAACAGGAUUAGAUACCCCUGUAGUCCCUGUCUCUUAUAC